UCCUCUUCUCUGUAAUUUUUUUGUAGACAACUCUCUCUCUCUCUCUCUCUCUCUCUCUCUCUCUCUCUCUCUCUCUCCCCUUGAUACUGAAGAUCAAGUUUUACACGAAAAACAGGGCAAGCAUUCCUGCAAGUAAGAAAAACACAAGCUUUUUAAGUAUUCGCUCCUCCGUAUGCAUGAGAAUCAACUGAUUAAUACGCCUCCACUAGCAUGUCCUGAUAUAUCAAUGGUUACUACAUUUGGUUGAUACUUGAUAGCAAAAGAGGGAAAAAGGAUGCAGCAGCCAAGAACAGGGGAUGUAAUUCUUGCAGGCAAAGCAUCGAGCACUUGGCCUGCAGAUGCAGGAGACACCAACCUUUGCCGCAAUGCAGCCGCGUGCUUGCUUGGCUUCAUGCGCAGCCCGGCGCGGUGAAGAACCUUGUCUUCUGGUCCGCUCCGUGCACCGUGGCCAAGCGCGUCUUCGUCUUCGUCUUCGCCUCCGACGACCAAACUGCGGCAACCAAGCGGACGAGCGGUGGUUCGUGGGAGCAGUGGUGCCCUCCACUCUUCCCGCGCCGCCUCGUAAAGCCCCGUGUUAUAUGUGCGGCUAGCACGCUGGCCCACAUCGUCACUGGGCACGGCGGCGGCGGGAGGAACUAUUAUGAUCUGGCUCAGAAUCUAGCUAGCAACGCAAACAGGCAGGAUGGCAAGGAAUUUU
rnacentral:lncRNA from 1 species